GUUUCUAUUUCUGUGUCAAGUCAUUCCCUCUACAAAGGACUUCCUGGCAGGUGUGAAAGACAGCGGUGGCCACAGAGGCGGUGGAGAGAUGGCCUUCAGCGGUUCCCAGGCUCCCUACCUGAACCCAGCCGUCCCCUUUUCUGGAACUAUCCAAGGGGGUCUCCAGGAUGGACUUCAGAUCACUGUCAAUGGGACUGUUCUCAGCUCCAGUGGAAGCAGGUUUGCUGUGGACUUUCAGACUGGCUUCAGUGGAGACGACAUUGCCUUCCACUUCAACCCUCGGUUUGAAGACGGAGGGUACGCGGUGUGCAACACGAGGCAGAAUGGAAGCUGGGGGCCCGAGGAGAGGAAGAUGCACCUGCCCCUCCGGAAGGGGAUGCCCUUUGACCUCUGCUUCCUGGUGCAGAGCUCGGAUUUCAAGGUGAUGGUGAACGGGAGCCUCUUCGUGCAGUAUUUCCACCGCGUGCCCUUCCACCGUGUGGACACCAUCUCCGUCAAUGGCUCUGUGCAGCUGUCCUACAUCAGCUUCCAGGUCAGACUGUCCACCUGGCACCGGUUCCCGGGGCUGGGAUGCAGGGCCCAGCGUAGCUGUGCCAAGGCCCUGCUGGGUGGACCCAAGCCAAUCUCCUACCCAGAACCCCCGCGCAGUCCCUGUUCAGCCUGCCUUCUCCAUGGUGCCGUUCUCCCAGCCUGUCUGUUUCCCACCCAGGCCCAGGGGGCGCAGACAAAAACCUCCCGGCGUGCGGCCUGCCAACCGGGCUCCCAUUACCCAGAAAGUCAUCCACACGGUGCAGAGCACCCUUGGACAGAUGUUCUCUACUCCCGCCUUCCCACCUGUGAUGUACCCCCACCCCGCCUAUCCAAUGCCUUUUGUCACCACCAUUCCGGGAGGGCUGUACCCAUCCAAGUCCAUCAUCCUGUCGGGCACCGUCCUGCCCAGUGCUCAGAGGUUCCACAUCAACCUGUGCUCUGGGAGCCACAUCGCCUUCCACCUGAACCCCCGUUUUGAUGAGAACGCUGUGGUCCGCAACACCCAGAUCAACAACUCUUGGGGGUCUGAGGAGCGAAGACUGCCCCGAAAAAUGCCCUUCGUCCGAGGCCAGAGCUUCUCGGUGUGGAUCUUGUGUGACGCGCACUGCCUCAAGGUGGCCGUGGAUGGUCAGCACCUGUUUGAAUAUUACCAUCGCCUGAGGAACCUGCCCGCCAUCAACAGACUGGAAGUGGGGGGCGACGUCCAGCUGACCCACGUGCAGACAUAGGCGGCUCCCUGGCCCUGGGGCCGGGGCUGGGGUGGGGGCCGUCUGGGUCUUCUCAUCAUCCCCACGUCCCAGGCCCAGCCUUUCCAACCCUGCCUGGGAUCUGGGCUUUAAUGCAGAGGCCAUGUCCUUGACUGGUCCUGCUUCUGGCUACAGCCACCCUGGAACAGAGAAGGCAGCUGACCGGGAUUGCCUUCCUCAGCCGUGGCAGCACCUGGGGCUCCAGCUGCCCAAAUCCUACCAUCCCAGGAGGCGGGCACAGCCAGGGAGAGGGAGGAGGGGGCAGUGAAGAUGAAGGCCCAUGCUCAGUCCCCUCCCAUCCCCCACACGGCUCCACCCCAGUCCCAAGCCACCAGCUGUCUACUCCUGGUGGGAGGUGGCCUCCUCAGCCCCUCCUCUCUGACCUUUAACUUCACUCUCACCUUGCACCCUGCACCAACCCUUCACCCCCUCCUGGAAAGCAGACCUGAUGGCAUCCCACUGGCCUCCACCAACUGACCGGAGUGUUCUCUUCAGGGGACUGGCUCCUUUCCCAGUGUCUUUGAAAUAAAGAAAUGAAAAUGCUUGUUGGCACAUUCA